GGAUGAACGCUGGCGGCGUGCUUAACACAUGCAAGUCGAACGAACCUUCGGGUUAGUGGCGGACGGGUGAGUAACGCGUGAGAAUCCGCCCUCAGGAGGGGGAUAACGGCUGGAAACGGCCGCUAAUACCCCAUAUGCCGCGAGGUGAAAUGAAUUUCGCCUGAGGAUGAGCUCGCGUCUGAUUAGCUAGUUGGUGGGGUAAAGGCCUACCAAGGCAUCGAUCAGUAGCUGGUCUGAGAGGAUGAUCAGCCACACUGGGACUGGGACACGGCCCAGACUCCUACGGGAGGCAGCAGUGGGGAAUUUUCCGCAAUGGGCGAAAGCCUGACGGAGCAACGCCGCGUGAGGGAUGAAGGCCUCUGGGCUGUAAACCUCUUUUAUCAAGGAAGAAGAUCUGACGGUACUUGAUGAAUAAGCCACGGCUAAUUCCGUGCCAGCAGCCGCGGUAAUACGGGAGUGGCAAGCGUUAUCCGGAAUUAUUGGGCGUAAAGCGUCCGCAGGCGGCCCUUCAAGUCUGCUGUUAAAAAGUGGAGCUUAACUCCAUCAUGGCAGUGGAAACUGUUGGGCUUGAGUGUGGUAGGGGCAGAGGGAAUUCCCGGUGUAGCGGUGAAAUGCGUAGAUAUCGGGAAGAACACCAGUGGCGAAGGCGCUCUGCUGGGCCAUCACUGACGCUCAUGGACGAAAGCCAGGGGAGCGAAAGGGAUUAGAUACCCCUGUAGUCCUGGCCGUAAACGAUGAACACUAGGUGUCGGGGGAAUCGACCCCCUCGGUGUCGUAGCCAACGCGUUAAGUGUUCCGCCUGGGGAGUACGCACGCAAGUGUGAAACUCAAAGGAAUUGACGGGGGCCCGCACAAGCGGUGGAGUAUGUGGUUUAAUUCGAUGCAACGCGAAGAACCUUACCAGGGUUUGACAUCCUGCGAAUUUCUGGGAAACCGGAAAGUGCCUUCGGGAGCGCAGUGACAGGUGGUGCGUGGCUGUCGUCAGCUCGUGUCGUGAGAUGUUGGGUUAAGUCCCGCAACGAGCGCAACCCACGUCUUUAGUUGCCAGCAUUCAGUUGGGCACUCUAGAGAGACCGCCGGUGAUAAACCGGAGGAAGGUGUGGAUGACGUCAAGUCAUCAUGCCCCUUACAUCCUGGGCUACACACGUACUACAAUGCUACGGACAAAGGGCAGCAAGUUCGCGAGGACAAGCAAAUCCCAUAAACCGUGGCUCAGUUCAGAUCGUAGGCCGCAACUCGCCUACGUGAAGGAGGAAUCGCUAGUAAUCGCAGGUCAGCAUACUGCGGUGAAUACGUUCCCGGGCCUUGUACACACCGCCCGUCACACCAUGGAAGUUGGCCACGCCCGAAGCCGUUACUCCAACCCUUGUGGAGGAGGACGUCGAAGGUGGGGCUGAUGACUGGGGU
rnacentral:rRNA from 1 species